GAUGAACGCUAGCUACAGGCUUAACACAUGCAAGUCGAGGGGCAGCAUGGUUGUUGCUUGCAACAACUGAUGGCGACCGGCGCACGGGUGAGUAACGCGUAUCCAACCUUCCCCAAGUAGGGAAUAGCCCGGCGAAAGUCGGAUUAAUGCCCUAUGUUUUCCUUGGAUGGCAUCUGAUGAGGAACAAAGACUUGUCGCUUGGGGAUGGGGAUGCGUCUGAUUAGGCAGUCGGCGGGGUAACGGCCCACCGAGCCUUCGAUCAGUAGGGGUUCUGAGAGGAAGGUCCCCCACAUUGGAACUGAGACACGGUCCAAACUCC
rnacentral:rRNA from 1 species